rnacentral:piRNA from 1 species
UGAACUAUUUCUAGAACUUCG